UCUGUUAUUUUUUCUCAUUUUUUUAUCUUUUGUAGUAGUCCUUGUAUGUAGGUGUCUAGUGCGUGCGUAUGGUGGGUGUGCCUUUUCAAAGCUUUUCUUGUUUCAUUUGUGGAGGGUUAGCUCGCUCGUUGGUUAGUACGUUGGUACGUUUGAGGAAAACAACUUAGUAAAUGCGUAGAACGGUUCCUGUUAAAAGCAGUAAAAAAAGCUAGAGAAUAAUGCCAAAAAAUGGUAAAACGUAUGAUGAGAAAACAAAAAUUAGAACUUGUUGGAGGGUAGCAACGUUGAUUAAAUUUCUUCUUGCAUCAAGUAAGGUAGUGUACAACAAUAAAUACAGCAAAAACACCUAACGGUUCUUGUUGCUACCAUCAGAUCAACUAGCACUUUCAGAUGAACCGAAUGAAAUAAAAGCAACCAGCAACAACAACAUGGUGGAUUACAAAAACGAGAAGAAAAAAAAUUAACAUGGAUCCUAUCAGUUGAUGAUGCUGAAGCAGAAGAAGAGCCAGUGCCAAUAGCACCAACUCCAGCAUGCCUACAAUCGUACCGAAAGGAAUGAACGAACAAUACUCCACGUUACUAGGUACAUAGUACAUACAUAUGUAUGUAUGUACAUAAAACACAAAGCUCUCAAGCAUGGUCUUGCGUUCACUGGUGCGUUUGCUGAAGUGCUGUAGCGGAUUAUUAAUAGAAAAUAUAGUUGAACCAUUCAUAGAACGGCAUGUUCCAAGAUAACAAACAUUGAAAUGCGUUGCCAGCCAUACGCUCACACUCACGUUUUCGAACGAACGUACGCAUGCACCCACACAGCAGCACAUUAAUUUGUGCGAAAGAGCGCAAAUGGCGCGUAAAUCGCAGAACGCGUAAGGAUUUUCCCGGUUGUUUGGCGCGCAUAGAAAGUGAAACUUUAAUACGAUUUAAGCUGCCGAGUAGAAGAGUACUGGAAGCGGAUAUUAUGUACACAGAUAUGUGUGACAUAGCAUAUGGGACAAAUUGGCAUGCACAUAACUUUAUGUAUGACAGCAGGAAUAUCUAAAUUAUCUCCUUCUUAUUCGAUACUACAAGCGUUUUUCGUUUGGGACCGAUACUAAAGAAUUAUUCGCCAUUUACAUCUCUCGUUUGCGGAGUAUCACAACUACCGAUAUGUCCUUUUUCACAGGGCUCUUCUAUUGACGAUGUCAAUGUCACCUGCAUAUGCCAGCAGCUUCGUGUUUCUACAUAAAACUGUCAAGGAAUCGCGGAAAAUCUGUACUUACCUACCUACAUGGUAACAUACACGCAACUUAUUAAAGUUGAGAAACCAACUAAAAUCAACAUACCUCUUCUUUUGGCCAUUUGCGAAGAAUUCAUUAAGGCUCUGUCAAAGACGCCAACAAAGUUCACUUUGGCAUCCGCAUGGCCACGAUGAAGAUCUUUCAAGGCGACGAGGCUCAUGACGAAGACGACACCGAGGAGGUCGACGAUGCGAUCCAGUUGCUUAAGUUCGUCAACAUCGCUGAUGCAAACCCCGAUGCAGAUGAGAGGGAGCAUCGCUGUCAGCCUAAUCCAUUAGCCGUUGGUCAGAGGGGAUCAGAUCCACGGACUUAACACAAUCCGUACACGUUGGCGGCCUUCCUAGACAUAGAGGGGGCCUCCAAUAACAUUACAAUCGAAGCAAUUGUUCGAUCCCUUGUAAAGGUGGAAACAGAAUUAUAAUUUCGACCAUGGGUCAGUAACACUAUCCCGUUAAGCGAAUAGAGGCACUCCGCAAGGGGGAGUUCUGUCUCCGCUACAAUGGGUGGUCGCACUGAACGGCAUUCUACUGGAUUUCUACAAAAGUGGAGUGAACGUAGUAGCAUAUGCAGAUGAUGUAGUACCAGGUCUCUUCCCCUCAAUGAGCCAAGUGCUAGAGGGAGCUUUACUCGGGCUGAACACCCAGGCCACAAAAAGUGACCUGGGUAUUAACCCCCUGAUACAGUUUACCGAGAAAACAAAAAAUACCAAAAUUCAAGCUUAUUCUCUUAUUGUAACGACCCUCACAUUGUCCUCCGAGACGAAAUACUUGGGUUUCGUAUAAGACACCAGACUGAGCUGGAAGACAAAAAUAGAAAGGCGGGAAGAUUAAGCCCACACAGCGUAUUACACACGCAAAAUAUUAUUUAAUAAAGAAACCUUCCUACACUAUCUUUGCGAGUGCACAGCAUUGGUGCGAGUAAGGCAUGCCCAAAGAACGUAGAUAAAAAGAAGGGACAACUCGUUAUAAUUGCAGCGAAAGUGA